rnacentral:lncRNA from 1 species
UGCAUCUCGUUGUUUUGCAAGAAUAGAUAUCGUUACAAGUACACGUACUGAAGAGAUGAGUAUAUGGAAUUGGCUUACACCCGCCACAAGCUACAACAAGUUCACAUCAAUACAACAAUAUACAAUCAUCAUGAAGAAGAGCUGGGUCUGACUAUGGGUGAAAACAAACGAUAAAAGAACGACGUCUGGCCUUGUUAUCCCAAGCUGUCGGCCUGGAACCCAACCUAGAUCGAAGAAGAAGAAGAAACUCCAAUAGCACAAUCAUCGUGCUCACAUCUUAAUAUAACUUUACUUGUACCUGCAACUG